UACGUAGGGGGCUAGCGUUGUCCGGAUUUAUUGGGCGUAAAGAGCGUGUAGGCGGCCAGGUAGGUCUGGUGUGAAAACUCGAGGCUUAACCUCGAGAUGUCAUCGGAAACCAUCUGACUAGAGUCCGGAAGAGGAGAGUGGAAUUCCUGGUGUAGCGGUGGAAUGCGCAGAUAUCAGGAGGAACACCCAUAGCGAAGGCAGCUCGCUGGGACGGUACUGACGCUAAGGCGCGAAAGCGUGGGAGCGAACGAGG
rnacentral:rRNA from 1 species